CACAGAUGACUGGGCUCCUGGGCCUUUCUCCAGUAAGCCACAGAGGAGUCAGCUGCAAAUAUUCUCUUCUGUUCUACAGACCUCUCUCCUCUUCCUGCUCAUGGAGUGAAAGAAAGAAGGCUAGCUCAAGGAGUCUAGCUGCUCCUCUAAGUCCCUCUUCUAUCUCUGCAGGACUAAGAGCCUCUGGAAGGGACUCAGCCCCAACAGUGGUGUCAGGGAUCCUAGGGGGUUCCGUGACUCUCCCCCUAAACAUCUCAGUAGACACAGAGAUUGAGAACGUCAUCUGGAUUGGUCCCAAAAAUGCUCUUGCUUUCGCACGUCCCAAAGAAAAUGUAACCAUUAUGGUCAAAAGCUACCUGGGCCGACUAGACAUCACCAAGUGGAGUUACUCCCUGUGCAUCAGCAAUCUGACUCUGAAUGAUGCAGGAUCCUACAAAGCCCAGAUAAACCAAAGGAAUUUUGAAGUCACCACUGAGGAGGAAUUCACCCUGUUCGUCUAUGCGCUUUCCUGCUGGCAAAAGGAUCUGAGCAUCUUCCCAUGCUGUUGUCCCUGCAGAGCAGCUGCAGGAGCCCCAAGUCACCAUGAAGUCUGUGAAGGUGUCUGAGAACUUCUCCUGUAACAUCACUCUAAUGUGCUCCGUGAAGGGGGCAGAGAAAAGUGUUCUGUACAGCUGGACCCCAAGGGACCCCCAUGCUUCUGAGUCCAAUGGAGGCUCCAUUCUUACCAUCUCCCGAACACCAUGUGACCCAGACCUGCCAUACACCUGCACAGCCCAGAACCCCGUCAGCCAGAGAAGCUCCCUCCCUGUCCAUGUUGGGCAGUUCUGUACAGAUCCAGGAGCCUCCAGAGGAGGAACAACGGGGGAGACUGUGGUAGGGGUCCUGGGAGAGCCAGUCACCCUGCCACUGGCACUCCCAGCCUGCCGGGACACAGAGAAGGUUGUCUGGUUGUUUAACACAUCCAUCAUUAGCAAAGAGAGGGAAGAAGCAGCAACGGCAGAUCCACUCAUUAAAUCCAGGGAUCCUUACAAGAACAGGGUGUGGGUCUCCAGCCAG
rnacentral:sRNA from 1 species